GCUUUAUUAAAAAUGCCAAGGAGAGUCUUGGAGCGAUUAAUUUUUAAAUUAAUUGAAAACUAGUAUCUAUUCUUUCAGAGAUAACACUUCAAAAGUACACAAUAUUCAUCUUCCAACAAUACUUCAUCGGCCCUGAAAGAUAGCUUUGCAGCUUGUAUUAAAGGGAAAUUUAUGUGACUUAGAAAUAUCUGUAGUACAUUGUUUUUGCCAGUGGCGUUAUAAACAAUCUAAUAAUUUCGAGAGUUUACGGAAAUUGAGUGGGCGUUGAAUUUGACAGACAGCUUGUCAAUAGACAUGAUAAGCCUUCCUAUUAAAGGUGACAUACUAUUGGUGGAAAACUAGAACCUGUUUACCUCAUUUUAUCCGUUUUCUAGCCAAGUUAAUUAUAUUCUAAUUCAGAUGCUGCCAGACGGUCCAAGUUGAAAACUUACGACCCGAAAUUUUUAAAACCCGAAUAAAUUACAAACUUUAAAUCGUUGAUAUCAAAAUCAUGAGACCCUCUCAUCGGUCUUCCCAAACGUCUUAACAAUUUCUUAAAUUUGGAACCAAGUUUGAAAGGUAAGCGUUUUUAGUUAUACAGUAUAACUAAUGUUCCUAUGACAACCGAGCUUGAUAACAAGCUUUGCCAAAAUUUAGCGUUUUAUCGUCCUUACUUUGUAUUGGUUGUAAAAGAGUCAUACUCAGUUCGUACUAAAGUUUAUUUACAACUUUUCACUAUUACCAUAUACUUAUACAAUAAAUGACUCCUUUUUAACUUUCCCACGAUGGCCACGGUGAAAACUGAAAGGUAAUAACCUUUCAGACAUUAUAUAAACAUAACGAAGGAAAAUACUGAUGGGCGGGGAAAACCACAAUCGCCCAAACUUCCGUGAUAUCAUUCGAAUGGUUAGAUAACACAACAGCUUUGUUUGAAACUAUUUUUACUUCCCUAAGGGUCACAUGUAUGGGUAAAGAAACAAGAGACAAAUAAUUUCCUUUUUUAUGAUGUAUACUUACAAGUGAUUUUUGUCCAAAGUUCAAUCGAGAGAGUAAAAGCGUCAGGAAGUUACUACUUGCCAAGAUUAAGAAAAAUUUAGAUACAAAACUUGGACAUUCCAUUCGUUUAGAAGCUUUGCCAGCUAACAAUGACAUUAUCCUAUGCAUUAAUGGUUAGUUUUGUAUUUAUUGAGCUAAAAUUUCUCAUACUCAUUUCAAAUCAUAUUACCUAAGGAGCAUUAAUCAUAUCUUUGAUGGUUAAUAUCAUUUUUUACGAAGUUUUUGCCUUUGUACCUCGUAUUCAUCUUAUAACUUUAGUUGGAGAGCCAAUAGAUCAUAAAUCCUUGUGAUUAUCAUAUUGAGCUACUCCCUAUAACUAAUUAAUGCAUUUCCGUAUUUCCUUUUACAAUUUGUAAUCUACUACUCUUUAACCUUCUACUUGUAGAAUAACCUUCGGAAUUUGUCAUCCCACUAAUCGGAAAAAACACGGGGAAGUGUCACGUUCUCAUUUAAAUACAACUGGCCCGGCUGAUCGAUCAGAGAACCAUUAUAAUUAAUAAUUCUGACAGCGACGAACUGACCAGUGGUUGAUACUCACAGAUAUUAAUUGAGGCCUGUUGAGAGGAAAACAAUUCAGAAGCUCCAAAGCUACAAGUAAACGAUAUCAAUCUUCUAUUUUGAUCAUGGGAGGUAGCCAAAAUAUGGUUUGGUAGAUGGCAAUUAACGUCAAAUUCGUCAGUCGAGAGCACCGGGGAGUCACAGAUAAUUUAAAGAUGCUUUGGUUCUUGAGAGGUUAAUAUUUUGUCCAACGAUCAACCCUGUUAGUAUCCUGAUCGACAAGCCUCGCAUUAUCUGUAAAGCUGCUCGGUCUCCGUUUGUGUCCUAAAC
rnacentral:misc_RNA from 1 species